GAAAUGCGAUAAGUAAUGUGAAUUGCAGAAUUCCGUGAAUCAUCGAAUCUUUGAACGCACAUUGCGCCCUCUGGCAUUCCGGGGGGCAUGCCUGUCCGAGCGUCAUUACGCACCCUCAAGCCCGGCUUGUGUGAUGGGCCCCGGCGUCUCGUUCGCGAGACGGGCCCGAAAGGCAGCGGCGGCGUCGACCCGAUGAGUCCGAGCGUAUGGGGACUUCUGUCACACGUUCGCGGUGCGGACCGGCGCCUGCUUUGACUUUUCUGAUUAUCCAGGUUGACCUCGGAUCAGGUAGGGAUACCCGCUGAACUUAAGC
rnacentral:misc_RNA from 1 species